GGCUUACUCUCGAAAUCAAUCUCAAUCUCAAUUUAGUCUCAAUGCAAUUCCAAUCACAAUUUUGUUUGUUACUCUUGAAGUCAUUACUAUUGCGAUUGUAUUGGCAUUGGGAUUGUCUCGUAAUUGUCGAUUCCACUGUACGUCAACAUGACAUCAACCUGUCAGCCACGGAAAUAGAACAAAUGAAUGAACGAAAACUUUAAUAAAAAUUAUAAAAUUUAAGUAAUUUUAAAGAAAAUUAUUUAUAUUCAGAGGUACUUUUAUCAAAAAUGCUUAUUUCUUACUAAUAACAUAUUUUUUAGACAAGAAUGAUCAAAUUAAAUUUUUGAAUCGGCUUAUUUGGCUGUAUGAGUUUAUUCCUGUGUCUCAACAUGUGUAGAGUUUACAAAAAAAAGUCAUAACAUAAAACAACCAGCCGACGGCCGGUUACACUUACUUAUUAAACCUAUACAAAAAGAAAUAAAUCAAUCAGCUGAAGCUGAAAAUCCAUAUUGUGUUUUAAGUGCUCGGCGCUCUUAAGUUUGUGGGACGAAGUUACCAAAAAUGAAGUUUAAAGUUGCUACAAUAUUCACGGCACAACAACGUUGUUUCUUCUUUGUUUACACUCCGAAAUUAAGGUACGUAUUUUUAUUAGUAUGUAUGUUGUGAAUGUUUAUUAUUAACUAGCGAUUUAAUGUUGUAAAAGUGAUCUUAAAGUAGAAUAAUAUGCUGGGCUAAGGUUAGCUAGCAAUGAAAUACUUGAGUAAAGUUAAAUAUCUAUCAAUAUUAGUCAUGUACUAAAUCAUAAUUAUUUCCUUUUCAUGGUUUAGUAUUGGGCAGAAAAGAAGUCUGCCUUGAAGAAGCUGUGCAACGGGCUCAGUCCAUGAGGCGCACUGGCGGUAGCUUAGAUAUGGUGCUAGGGCUGUCACUACUUUUUAUUUAUUUGUGGCAGUCAGUGGCAGUCAUGGGUGGUGGGUGACUCUCUUGCCACAGGUACCAGGGGAAUAGCUGUAGACCCCUUUCCACAAAGUAAUUCUCGCCCUUCUAAAUUAAUAGACCUGCCAUCCACAUCACAGGCUGCCACUGAAACCCUGGAAAUAGAGCAAGAAAUUCAUAUUCAUAAUCCACAGCCUCCUGUGGAGGCAGGGCUGCAGGUAGAACACAGCGAGCAGCAAGGUGAAAAAAGUUUUGUAGGCAUUAUAUGAUUCCAUACUAAUAUUUAUGAAGUUUUGUGUAGAUUUUUAAAUGUUAUUUAAAUAAUAAUUUAUUAAUUAUUACAAAUUAUAUUAGUGUUCUCUGUAUUUUAGGUCAAUAAAGAUUAUAAACAAUAAAUAUAUUUUUUAAAUAAUGAUUGUUUUUAUACUUCCUGUGAGGAUAUUCCCAACCAAAUAUUACUCAUUAUCACACACCACAUGCUGCCCACAAUUGUCGCACAAGAUUUGCUCUAGCUUCUAUACCCCUUUGCAGCUCUAUAGAAGCUCCAUCUCUUUCUUGUAGUGCAGGUUCUACAUCAACAGUUAGGUCUGUAUGUUAUUAGGGUUCUCAUCAUCUUCCACUAUUAAAUGUGCCCGGUUACACAUAUUGUGGAGCAUGCAGCAAGUGUUUAUAAUUUUUGUUGCUACAACAGGGUAAUAAUGUAACACUCUAUAUAUUAUGUGUUUAUGCAGAACACUCGGGCUGUUUAAUGCUGCACUCACAUCCCUCAAUGCUCGAGAUAAUGAUUGCUGUGACAUGGGAGUACCUAGUAUCCCGCCAGUCGCAAAGAAUGAAAGUGCUAUUAGUAUCUGUAAACCAAAACCAAUUUAUUAAACACAGGUUCUUUUGUGUUUCAGUAUCACAAACAAACACAUAAUUUCAAACAAAAUUACCUUGUAUUUUUUACUGAUAUCAUUUCUCGUUUUUGUAGUUUGCAUCAAGGGUUCAAAUUCUUAGCACAAUCCAUAAAAAAAUGCCUUGGUGACACAAUAAUUUCGCUUAAACUCGUCGUCAGUCAUAGCAAGGGUUUUAUCGGCGUAUCGAGCAUUCCUACGCAAAUUACGAGUUUCUCGCGAAUCCUUCCUAUAGACAUCACUAAGAAUUACGCUUUGCAACACCAAACGAACCAUUUUAUGCACUUUUUCACAGCUAAAAUGUUAACUCAAUUCUAACAAAGUUACUCUUUCGCUAUUGUUACAAUAUCCAAUAACAACACAAUUUCAACGCAAUAUGGAGCUGUCAAAGUGGCUUCAAGAGUAACGAUCUCAAGUUCCAAAACUCAAUCCCAAUGAAAUUUAGUUCAUUCAAUAUCCGCACCAAUGUGGCGCUAGUGUUAAAUUCAAGAGUGCCAAAUGACGUUUCUUGCAUUGAGAUUGGGAUCGUAUAUUGGGAUUGUGAUUCGAGAGUAAGCCUCCAGCAGGCUUACUCUCGAAAUCAAUCUCAAUCUCAAUUUAGUCUCAAUGCAAUUCCAAUCACAAUUUUGUUUGUUACUCUUGAAGUCAUUACUAUUGCGAUUGUAUUGGCAUUGGGAUUGUGUCGUAAUUGUCGAUUCCACUGUACGUCAACAUGACAUCAAUCUGUCAGCCACGGAAAUAGAACAAAUGAAUGAACGAAAACUUUAAUAAAAAUUAUAGAAUUUAAGUUAUUUUAAAGAAAAUUAUUUAUAUUCAGAGGUACUUUUAUCAAAAAUGCUUAUUUCUUACUAAUAACAUAUUUUUUAGACAAGAAUGAUCAAAUUAAAUUUUUGAAUCGGCUUAUUUGGCUGUAUGAGUUUAUUCCUGUGUCUCAACAUGUGUAGAGUUUACAAAAAAAAAGUCAUAACAUAAAACAACCAGCCGACGGCCGGUUACACUUACUUAUUAAACCUAUACAAAAAGAAAUAAAUCAAUCAGCUGAAGAUGAAAAUCAAUAUUGUGUUUUAAGUGCUCGGCACUCUUAAAUUUGUCGAAAUUAAUUUUUGGGACGAAGUUACCAAAAAUGAAGUUUAAAGUUGCUACAAUAUUCACGGCACAACAACGUUGUUUCUUCUUUGUUUACACUCCGAAAUCAAGAAAAGAAGUCUGCCUUGAAGAAGCUGUGCAACGGGCUCAGUCCAUGAGGCGCACUGGCGGUAACUUAGAUAUGGUGCUAGGGCUGUCACUACUUUUUAUUUAUUUGUGGCAGUCAGUGGCAGUCAUGGGUGAUGGGUGACUCUCUUGCCACAGGUACCAGAGGAAUGGCUGUAGACCCCUUUCCACAAAGUAAUUCUCGCCCUUCUAAAUUAAUAGACCUGCUAUCCACAUCACAGGCUGCCACUGAAACCCUGGAAAUAGAGCAAGAAAUUCAUAUUCAUAAUCCACAGCCUCCUGUGGAGGUAGGGCUGCAGGUAGAACACAGCGAGCAGCAAGGCGAAAAAAGUUUUGUAGGCAUUAUAUGAUUCCAUACUAAUAUUUAUGAAGUUUUGUGUAGAUUUUUAAAUGUUAUUUAAAUAAUAAUUUAUUAAAUACAAAUUAUAUUAGUGUUCUCUGUAUUUUAGGUCAAUAAAGAUUAUAAACAAUAAAUAUAUUUUUUUAACUUAAUGAUUGUUUUUAUACUUCCUGUGAGGAUAUUCCCAACCAAAUAUUACUCAUUAUCACACACCACAUGCUGCCCACAAUUGUCGCACAAGAUUUGCUCUAGCUUCUAAGGGGUAUCCCUUUGCAGCUCUAUAGAAGCUCCAUCUCUUUCUUGUAGUGCGGGUUCUACAUCAACAGUUAGGUCUGUAUGUUAUUAGGGUUCUCAUCAUCUUCCACUAUUAAAUGUGCCCGGUUGCACAUAUUGUGGAGCAUGCAGCAAGUGUUUAUAAUUUUUGUUGCUACAACAGGGUAAUAAUGUAACACUCUAUAUUUUAUGUUUUUAUGCAGAACACUCGGGCUGUUUAAUGCUGCAGUCACAUCCCUCAAUGCUCGAGAUAAUGAUUGCUGUGACAUGGGAGUACCUAGUAUCCCGCCAGUCGCAA